rnacentral:rRNA from 1 species
UACAGAGGUCUCAAGCGUUGUUCGGAUUCAUUGGGCGUAAAGGGUGUGUAGGUGGCGCCGUAAGUCGGGUGUGAAAUUUCGGAGCUUAACUCCGAAACUGCAUUCGAUACUGCGGUGCUUGAGGACUGGAGAGGAGACUGGAAUUCAUGGUGUAGCAGUGAAAUGCGUAGAGAUCAUGAGGAAGACCAGUGGCGAAGGCGGCAUCCUGGACCAACACUGACGCUGAGGAGCGAAAGCCAGGGGAGCAAACGGG